rnacentral:pre_miRNA from 19 species
GGAGCGAUUGGACCACCUUGCAGUUUCAUGGCACACUCUCUCCAUUUCUCUACCGUUCAUGCAGCGGUUGAUCGAUUGGGUUGCUGGUUGAUUGAUCGAUCGAUGGUCAGGAGUUGGAAGAGAAUUGGAGAGAGUGCAUUGUGAAUUGCGGGGUUGACGAGGCGGAGGG